AUAUAAUGUUAUGUGCGUGAUCAAUUUAAAUGGAAAGCUGUUCAAUUGCAGCGGAAUAGCGGAUUUUUAAAUACUUGGGUUGACGUCACUAAACUUUUCAAGAAGCGGUGCGCGCCGUCCGCGUUUGUGAAUAGAGACAGAACAGAACCGUGCGGGAACGAGAGAGAGCUGGGCGACAAGGAGACCGUACAAAACAAGGACUCUUUCACUUCAUUCGGAGAGAGGGAACUGAUGAGUCAGAGGGGAGGAUAGAUGAGUGACAGACACUACUAGUGGGUUCCAGACACACAAAUCCAAAUCAAGAAGGUACAUUCAUCUUCCUCUCGUCACAACAUGUUGUUCCCUGAACAUUUCAUAAAGGUACAGGACCACUCCUGUUCUUCUACAUGAAAAUGGAAACGUAUUGCAUGUGUAAAGGACAGGUAACACAAUACUCUACUCAGCAAACUGGAUGCAGUUUAUCACAGUGGUAUCCGUUUUGUUACUAAAACACCUUAUACCACCCACCACUGCGACCUGUAUGCUCUAGUCGGCUGGCCCUUGCUACAGAUUCGUCGCCAGACCCACUGGCUCAAGGUCAUCUACAAGUCCAUGCUAGGUAAAGCUCCGCCUUAUCUCAGUUCACUGGUCAUGAUAACAACACGCGCUCCAGCAGGUGUAUCUCACUGAUCAUCCCUAAAGCCAACACCUCCUUUGGCCGCCUUUCCUUCCAGUUCUCUGCUGCCUGUGACUGGAACGAAUUGCAAAAAUCGUUGGAGACUUUUAGCUCCCUCACCAACUUUAAACAUCUGCUAUCUGAGCAGCUAACCGAUCACUGCAGCUGUACAUAGUCUAUCGGUAAAUAGCCCACCCAAUUUACCUACCUCAUCCCCAUACUGUUUUUAUUUAUUUACUUUUCUGCUCUUUUGCACACCAGUAUCUCUAC
rnacentral:lncRNA from 1 species